CUAAUCAUGGAGAGUAGCAACCUAGAACUAAGGAGAAAUUUCCUAAUGCUUUGCACUCAAUGACUCGCCUCAAAGAAAUAAGUAGAAAGACCGAUAUUAUGAAAAACACAGAGACUUAAGGCUCUUGAGAAGAUGGGGUAAUUUACAGAU